rnacentral:lncRNA from 1 species
CCCACGAUGAGGCCGGUGAAGAACAGCGCGACGCACGCGGCGCUGUGAUCGAACAUCGCCCCCCUCAGGUCGUCUCGCAUGUACAUGAUGAACAUCAGGGCUCGGUCCACGUGUUCCCUGUGCCACGGCUUGGGCGCGAGUCCGAUGGUGACGUGCUCGCCGUCGUACGCGUCCAGCGAGGUGACAAACUCCCUCGACGGGUACUUUGCGAAUUCCGCCUCCGCAAACGCCACGAACGCCCUGGACGUCCUGUCCUUUCCCGCGUGCGUGAACACCUUCCCCUUGUAGAACAUCGCGACGUGCGGGUACGCCUUGAUCUCG